rnacentral:rRNA from 1 species
GAUGAACGCUGGCGGCGUGCCUAAUACAUGCAAGUCGAGCGAACAGACGAGAGUGCUUGCACUCUCUGACGUUAGCGGCGGACGGGUGAGUAACACGUGGGUAACCUACCUAUAAGACUGGGAUAACUUCGGGAAACCGGAGCUAAUACCGGAUAAUAUUUAGCUUCGCAUGAAGCAAUAGUGAAAGACGGUUCUGCUGUCACUUAUAGAUGGACCCGCGGUGUAUUAGCUAGUUGGUGAGGUAACGGCUCACCAAGGCAACGAUACAUAGCCGACCUGAGAGGGUGAUCGGCCACACUGGGACUGAGACACGGCCCAGACUCCUACGGGAGGCAGCAGUAGGGAAUCUGCCGCAAUGGACGAAAGUCUGACGGAGCAAUGCCGCGUGAGUGAAGAAGGUUUUCGGAUCGUAAAACUCUGUUGUAAGGGAAGAACAAGUACGUUAGUAACUGAACGUACCUUGACGGGACCUUACCAGAAAGCCACGGCUAACUACGU